GGCAGAUUGAAUGAGUACAGCACUGUGUUAAAAUCACUGAAGGGCAGGAGGGAUGCGCUCUAUGGGCGAUUAAGUGAAAUACUCUUGGCUAAGGGUAAGGCUGAUGAUCAACUUAGUUGGAGGGUGCUUCAGAACGAAAAAUUGGCAAGAUUAAAGGAAAAGCUUCGACAGCAGAAAGAGCAAGUUUCACAAGGGAAGGCGAA